UUAAUCGCCUGGGUCGCCAACCCAGUCCUUCUCGCCCCACCAUCUCUCCUGCUAGGGGGCGCUUGAGUCGAGAGAACACGGUUGGUUCCGUCGACGACCACGAGCCCAUGCAGGUGGGUAGAGCUCGGCUGUCCCGGAGGGAGAGGGAACGGCGGAGGUCCCAAGGACUGUGUUUGUACUGUGGAGGCUCUGCUCAUAACACCUACUCAUGCCCGGUAAAAGAGUCAGCCCGAUAGUAAAUUUGAGGCUACUAUCGGGUGGGAUCUCUGCUGAGAAGUCCUCAUCUACAUCAUCGACCCUCCUUCCGGUGAAACUGCGGUGGAGGAAUCAAUAUCACGAAUGUCACGCCCUUCUGGACUCCGGAGCCGAAGAAGGAGAACAUGGUUUUGCCAAACAUGCCCGUUGAGUAUCUGGACCUGAAGGAAGUGUUCAUUCCUGUGCCAUCCUCUCCUGCUGCCUACUCACCGU